rnacentral:tRNA from 1 species
UAACAAUAUAGUUUAUAAAAAAUUUUUAUUUUGCGUGUAGAAGAAAGCUUUGUGUUUAUUGUUAAC